UUCGCAUGCCUGCGCAAGUAACACGUAGAUGUGCAUCUUCCAACAUCAUCACAAACACACACGAACAAGAACGGCUGCGUUUACAAAAUCCUACCAUCGAUUGAAAACCAUAAAGUUGGAUCUGCAAGGAAACUGGCAUCCAAAGAAAUACAACCUGUAAUAGGACACUUUCGCUUUUAGCUCCGUCAGCCGUUUUUCUAUACUGUACUUGACCGAUGAAGUACACACAUCAUUUACUGCAGCUUAACUAACCAAUAGGCCAGUCACGGCGACAAUUUGAGACCAAGUACAGGAGCGACCUGGAAGUUGUAUGAACAGCAGCAUCAAGGAAAAUAAACCCUCACGGAAGUAAAUCUGGUUGGAUGCCUGACUAUCACAGGACUCGCUAUCUCAGGGCCAAUUUGGAAUUAUCAAUUAAUGAGACGUGUCUCUUUGAUGAUGUGGGAAGAAAACAAAAGCAACUGGAGGAAAUCUACACAGAUACAGGCAGAAUGUGCAAAUUCCACAUAGACAACUAGUGGGUGUUGGAAUGGAACCCAGGGCUCUGAAUCUGUGACGCAGCAUUACUAACUGCCAGCUGUACUUUAAUUAUAAUCACUUAUUAAUGUCUUGUCAAGCUGCAUGAGCCCUGGUCAAAUUUGCUUGUUAAUAAAGCUUUUAUGAUCUC